UAGGCGUAAAUGAUGCGAGUUAAGUGUGGGGGCAUCUACGAGAUGGCCCUGUGCUGUAGGGUAGCCGUUAAACUCGCUGCCUGGGGAGUACGGUCGCAAGGCUGAAACUUAAAGGAAUUGGCGGGGGAGCACAACAACGGGUGGAGCUUGCGGUUUAAUUGGAUUCAACGCCGGAAAUCUUACCGGGACCGACAGCAACAUGAAGGCCAAGCUGAUGACUUUACCUGAUUUUCCGAGAGGUGGUGCAUGGCGUAGUCGUGU
rnacentral:rRNA from 1 species